rnacentral:rRNA from 1 species
UACGUAGGGCGCAAGCGUUGUCCGGAAUUACUGGGCGUAAAGAGCUCGUAGGUGGUUUGUCGCGUUGUUCGUGAAAACUCACAGCUCAACUGUGGGCGUGCGGGCGAUACGGGCAGACUAGAGUACUGCAGGGGAGACUGGAAUUCCUGGUGUAGCGGUGGAAUGCGCAGAUAUCAGGAGGAACACCGGUGGCGAAGGCGGGUCUCUGGGCCAUUACUGACGCUGAGGAGCGAAAGCGUGGGGAGCAAACAGG